rnacentral:lncRNA from 1 species
UACAUCGGUUUUUUUAAACAAAGUUAAAGGUUAAUUUUGUCAACAAAUUUUUAGUCCCAAAUGAAAGCAAUUAUAAUACCUAGUUGGACAUAGUAUUAAAUAGUCCCCUCUUUUAACUCAUUUUAUUAUCAUGAGAUUAAUAGUUCAAAGUCUACUUUUAAAAACAAACAAAACUUGAGAUUAAUAGUCCAAUUUCAAAUAUAAUUCUUACAAAUAAACAUAGUCUAAUCCUGGUUGAGUGUUUGUUUCCUAUUUCAUUAGCAUUUUCCCUCCAUCAUUGCCUUCCUAAC